UACGAAGGGGGCUAGCGUUGUUCGGAUUUACUGGGCGUAAAGCGCACGUAGGCGGAUCGUUAAGUCGGGGGUGAAAUCCUGGAGCCCAACUCCAGAACUGCCUUCGAUACUGGCGAUCUUGAGUCCGGAAGAGGUGAGUGGAACUCCUAGUGUAGAGGUGGAAUUCGUAGAUAUUCGCAAGAACACCAGUGGCGAAGGCGGCUUACUGGCCCGAUACUGACGCUGAGGCACGAAAGCGUGGGGAGCAAACAGG
rnacentral:rRNA from 1 species